UGACCUUUGUAUGGAGACUACUAAGUCAGAAUUUCAAAAUCAGAGAACCCUGGAAUUAAGAAAAAUGGGCAAUCCUGAGCCAACUCCCGCUUUCAAAAAACAAAGGAUAGGUGCAGAGACUCAAUGGAAGCUAUUCUAACAAAUUCAGAAUUCAUCCUAAAAAAAAAAGGAUGAAGAAGAAACGUAUAUACAUAUGUAUACGUACUGAAAAGUUAACUACUAUAUUGUAUCGAAAAAAAGAAUUAAUGAUGACCCGAAUACAUUUUUUUCAUAUAAAAAAAAUGGAAGAAUUGUUGUGAAAGAAUUGUUGUGAAUUGAUUCCAAGUUGAAGAAAGAAUCGAAUAUGAAUUUCAGAAAUUCAAAAAAUUAACCUUGUGUUUGAUAGAUCUUUUGACGAAUUGAUCAAUUGGAUGAGAAUGAAGAUAGAGUCCCAUUCUACAUGUCAAUACUGACAAGAAUGAAAUUUAUAGUAAGAGGAAAAUCCGUCGACUUUAUAAAUCGUGAGGGUUCAAGUCCCUCUAUCCCCA
rnacentral:ncRNA from 1 species